rnacentral:rRNA from 1 species
UACAGAGGGUGCAAGCGUUAAUCGGAAUUACUGGGCGUAAAGGGCGCGUAGGCGGUUGUUUAAGUUAGAUGUGAAAUCCCUGGGCUUAACCUAGGACUGUCAUUUAAGACUGAACGACUGGAGUUUAGUAGAGGGUAGUGGAAUUUCCGGUGUAGCGGUGAAAUGCGUAGAGAUCGGAAGGAACACCAGUGGCGAAGGCGGCUACCUGGACAAAAACUGACGCUGAGGCGCGAAAGCGUGGGGAUCAAACAGG